CCGACGGGCGGCAGCAGUGGGGAAUAUUGGACAAUGGGGGCAACCCUGAUCCAGCCAUGCCGCGUGUGUGAAGAAGGCCCUCGGGUUGUAAAGCACUUUCAGUGAGGAAGAACGCCUGGUGGUUAAUACCCAUCAGGAAAGACAUCACUCACAGAAGAAGCACCGGCUAACUCCGUGCCAGCAGCCGCGGUAAUACGGAGGGUGCGAGCGUUAAUCGGAAUUACUGGGCGUAAAGCGCGCGUAGGUGGCUUGAUAAGCCGGUUGUGAAAGCCCCGGGCUCAACCUGGGAACGGCAUCCGGAACUGUCAAGCUAGAGUGCAGGAGAGGAAGGUAGAAUUCCCGGUGUAGCGGUGAAAUGCGUAGAGAUCGGGAGGAAUACCAGUGGCGAAGGCGGCCUUCUGGACUGACACUGACACUGAGGUGCGAAAGCGUGGGUAGCAAACAGGAUUAGAUACCCUGGUAGUC
rnacentral:rRNA from 1 species